UCGAAAGGUGUGCUAAUACCGCAUAAUCUCUGAGGAGAAAAGCAGGGGAUUCGCACGAACCUUGCGCUUUUGGAGCGGCCGAUGUCUGAUUAGCUAGUUGGUGAGGUAAAGGCUCACCAAGGCAUCGAUCAGUAGCUGGUCCGAGAGGACGACCAGCCACACUGGGACUGAGACACGGCCCAGACUCCUACGGGAGGCAGCAGUGGGGAAUUUUGGACAACGGGGGCAAGCCUGAUCCAGCCAUGCCGCGUGAGUGAAGAAGGCCUUCGGGUUGUAAAGCUCUUUCAGCCGGAACGAAACGGUCACGGCCAAUACUCGUGACUAAUGACGGUACCGGAAGAAGAAGCACCGGCUAACUACGUGCCAGCAGCCGCGGUAAUACGUAGGGUGCGAGCGUUAAUCGGAAUUACUGGGCGUAAAGCGUGCGCAGGCGGUUUUGUAAGUCAGAUGUGAAAUCCCCGGGCUUAACCUGGGAACUGC
rnacentral:rRNA from 1 species